GUGCUUGUGUUGUGUCAGCAGCACAAAUACUAAAGUUAGAACGAUACAGAGAUUAGCUUGGCCCCUCUGCAAGGGUGACACUUAAAUUUGUGCAGCAGUCCAUAUUGUG